rnacentral:rRNA from 1 species
UUAUGAACAGUCUGACCCGAAUUCCAUAUAGUAUAAGAUUCAGUAAAAGUCGUAGAAACCAGACGGCUGGCGUCCUACACGAGCGUACGUGUGGUCAUGACACUAUCUGUAGAGCCCAGCGCACUUGUGCUGGAUCAGGACUUAACUGUGAAAUAGAGUGCUACAGCGGCUAUGCUGGAUUCCAUAAGCCAAUGAUUAUUAGAUUAGAACCUGUCGUGUCUAUCAGUGGUUCAUGAGACGGCUGUAUUGAUGAUUAGUAACAGUCGCGCAUCGUGUAUUCAAUGCUCAGAGUUGAAAUUCUCGAAUUUAUGGAGGACUACUUAUUGCGAAACCAUGGCCAUGAAUGUAUUCAUAUUCAGACGGAGAGUUAGUGAUUGGAAGAGGUUCGGAUACGGUGUAUUGUCAACCGUAUAACUAUACGCGAGUC